rnacentral:rRNA from 1 species
GACGUAGGUGGCGAACGUUAUCCGGAAUUAUUGGGCGUAAAGGAUGCGUAGAUGGUGUAGUAAGUUAUCGGUGGUAAAUCGAGGCUCAACCUCGUGGAAGUCGGUAAUACUGCUAUGCUAGAGGAUAGGAGAGGUUAACGGAACUCCCUGUGGAGCGGUGAAAUGCGUAGAUAUAGGGAAGAACACCAAUAAGGCGAAGGCAGUUUAACUAUUCUAUUCCUGACAUUGAGGCAUGAAAGCGUGGGGAGCCAAAACGG